rnacentral:rRNA from 1 species
AUUGAACGCUGGCGGAAUGCUUUACACAUGCAAGUCGAACGGUAGAGGGGGCAACCCCUUGAGAGUGGCGAACGGGUGAGUAAUAUAUCGGAACGUGCCCAGUCGUGGGGAUAACGUAGCGAAAGUUACGCUAAUACCGCAUACGAUCUAAGGAUGAAAGCGGGGGAUCGCAAGACCUCGCGCGAUUGGAGCGGCCGAUAUCAGAUUAGGUAGUUGGUGAGGUAAAGGCUCACCAAGCCAACGAUCUGUAGCUGGUCUGAGAGGACGACCAGCCACACUGGAACUGAGACACGGUCCAGACUCCUACGGGAGGCAGCAGUGGGGAAUUUUGGACAAUGGACGCAAGUCUGAUCCAGCCAUUCCGCGUGCAGGAUGAAGGCCCUCGGGUUGUAAACUGCUUUGUACGGAACGAAAAGGUUUCUAUUAAUACUAGGAGCUCAUGACGGUACCGUAAGAAUAAGCACCGGCUAACUAACGUGCCAGCAGCCGCGGU